CCUACGGGCGGCUGCAGUAGGGAAUCUUCGGCAAUGGGGGCAACCCUGACCGAGCAACGCCGCGUGAGUGAAGAAGGUUUUCGGAUCGUAAAACUCUGUUGUUAGAGAAGAACGUUAAGUAGAGUGGAAAAUUAUUUAAGUGACGGUAUCUAACCAGAAAGGGACGGCUAACUACGUGCCAGCAGCCGCGGUAAUACGUAGGUCCCAAGCGUUGUCCGGAUUUAUUGGGCGUAAAGCGAGCGCAGGUGGUUCCUGAAGUGUUAUGUAAAAGGCAGUGUCUCAAGCAUUGUGUGCAUUGGAAACUGGGAGAGUUGAGUGCAGGAGAUGAGAGUGGAAUUCCAUGUGUAGCGGUGAAAUGCGUAGAUAUAUGGAGGAACACCGGAGGCGAAAGCGGCUCUAUGGCCUGUAACUGACACUGAGGCGCGAAAGCGUGGGGAGCAAACAGGAUUAGAUACCCGGGUAGUC
rnacentral:rRNA from 1 species